rnacentral:rRNA from 1 species
UAGCUGGUCUGAGAGGAUGGCCAGCCACACUGGAACUGAGACACGGUCCAGACUCCUACGGGAGGCAGCAGUGGGGAAUAUUGGACAAUGGGGGCAACCCUGAUCCAGCAAUGCCGCGUGUGUGAAGAAGGCCUGAGGGUUGUAAAGCACUUUCAGUGGGGAGGAGGAUUGAUAGGUUAAGAGCUAAUUAAUUGGACGUUACCCACAGAAGAAGCACCGGCUAACUCCGUGCCAGCAGCCGCGGUAAUACGGAGGGUGCGAGCGUUAAUCGGAAUUACUGGGCGUAAAGGGUGCGUAGGUGGUUUAUUAAGUUAUCUGUGAAAUCCCUGGGCUUAACCUGGGCAGGUCAGAUAAAACUGUUAGACUCGAGUAURG